rnacentral:lncRNA from 10 species
UUGUACUCCUGGGCUCAAGAGAUCCUCCUGCUUCAGUCUCCCAACUAGCUAGGAUUACAGGCAUUUUCCACCAUUCUUGGCUAACAUGUUGCCCAGGCUGGGUGAUUUUCUUAUAGUACUUGGAGAACAUCAACUUAUUAGAAAGAUCUGGAUGAUCCAGGGACUAAGAUAACCAUACCACUUUUUCAAUAUCAGAGAUCAUCACCAAAAAUCCUAAGAAACUAGACUCACCCUAACUACAAUCCAUCUUUAAAUGAAUCUUCCAUAAGAGUGAACACCAGGUAUGAAAGAGCUGCAAAAGCGUGGUCCUGGGAGACCUUUCAGCCAUGUGUGACCAUCUAAACUUCUUCUGAGUAAUUCCUUUGUAAAGUCUCCCAAAGAAUUUUACCAAAGACAGGAAAUUAAAUCAAUAACUUAAGUCUGGUGCUUUGGCUCAAUUUAAUAAAAAAAAAUUUUUUUUUUUGACACAGUCUCACUCUAUCGCCUGGGCUGGAAUGCAGAAGCAUGAUCAUGGCUCACUGCAUCCUCGAUUUCUGAGGGUCAGGUGAUCCUCCCACCUCAGCCUCCCAAGUAGCUGAGACUACAGGCAUGUGCCACCAUGCCCAGCUACUUUUUUUUUGUAUCUUUUUGUAGAGACUGGAUUUUGCCAUGUUGCCCAGGCUUAUUUUUAUUUAUUUAUUUAUUUAUUGAUUUAUUUUUUAGACAGAGUCUUGCUCUGUAGCCCAGGCUAGAGUGAAAUGGUAGGAUCUCAGCUCAUUGCAACCUAGGCCACCUGAAUUCAAGUGAUUCUCUGGCCUCAGCCUCCCAAGUAGCUGGGACUACAGGCAUGUGCCACCAUGCCUGGAUACUUUUUGUAAUUUUAGUAAAGACAGGGUUUCACCAUGUUGGCCAGGCUGGUCUCCAGCGCCUGACCUCGGAUGACCCACCCGCCUUGGCCUCCCAAAAUGCUAGGAUUACAGGCAUGAAUCACUGCACUCGGCCCAGGGUCACUUUAAUUUUUAUCAAGAGAUAAAACUACUUGUACAUUUAAAGGCUCAGUGGAAUAAGAAUUAAAAUAACUCAGCAAAUUGGAAAACGAAAUUCUUCAAAACAUUCUAUGAGGUUCAAUACAGGCAAGCAUGACAAAAUAGAUUUAAGGGCAAAAUCAGCCACCAACCAACCUAACAAAGAGAAUACAAUGAACAAACAAACAAAAAGUCCUAAGCAAUCCAAUUCAGAGUGGGAAAGGCCAGGCCACUGUCAGUUUUAUAGGCAAAGAAUGGCAGAUUCCUGCCGCGCAGAAACCAUAACUGGUCAACCCUGGAGUGCUGCUAUGAACACAGUCAUGAUGCAGGGUCAAGAAACCCUCCUUCCAUGAUAUUCUGCUUUAAUCAGAUGCAAGGUUGCCUUUGUGUGUAGCAAAGAUGGGGUCUCCUACCUGUUAUGAUUUGAGGCCCCCAGGGAAAGACCCAAUUCCCUAGUCCUCACCUCCUCUGUCUGGUCUGAUGGAGUGAAAUGCCACCACAGAUUAUCCUGCACCUUAAAGGCUUUUUCAGUCCUCAAAUAUAUCUUUUUUGUUGUUGUUUAAUUUUUGAUACAGAGUCUUGCUCUGUCGCCCAGGCUGGAGUGAUGUGGUAAGAUCUCGGCUCCCUGCAACCUCUGCCUCCUGGGUUCAAGCAAUUCUUGUGCCUCAGCCUCCCAAGAAGCUCAGAUUACAGGCACACUCCACAAAGCCUGGCUAAUGUUUCUGUAUUUUUAGUAGAGAUGGGGUUGCACCAUGCUGGCCAGGCUGGUCUCGAACUCCUGGCCUCAAGUAAUCCACCUGCCUCUGCCUCCCAAAGUGCUCGUAUUACAGGUAUGAGCCACCACGCCCAGCCCAAAUAUAUCUUUUAAAGCAUAAUACACUAACCCCAAAACUGAAGUAAUCACUUAAUGUCAUUUUAACAAAUUCCUAGAAAUCCCAGUUUAAAUGCAUUUUUAUGUGGAAGGCUUCCCUAUUACCUCCCAGCAAAAUUCGUAGUCUUUCUCUAUGGAGUUAGCAGGAACUAUAUAUAAUUUUGCUUCUGUAUUUCGUCUUGGUUUAAUAAAACCAUCUAUUUACAAUAAGUCACUCUCUCUGCAAUCAGCAUUUUGGGAAAGAUGAAGUAAAGAUUAAUAUUUAUCAAGAAAUAAGAUUUGAUAUGUUGUAGUUCUCUGGGUAAUCAGUUUAUUCCAGUUGUCUUGGAACAAUUAUUGACAGUGUCUCCUCUCACUCUCAGAAGUGCAACCUGGGAGGCAGAGGUUGCAGUGAGACAAGAUCGUGCCAGCGAGGGUACAACAGAGCAAGACUCUGUCUCAAAAAGAAAAAAAAAACCCAAAAGAAGUGCACAGUUCAAUCCUAAGGCAGGUAUAAGACUUCUCUUCCGAGACUGACCAUUUUCCCCUGCUCACG